rnacentral:tRNA from 1 species
GGGCCUAUAGCUCAGUUGGUAGAGCGCUCGCAUGGCAUGCGAUAGGUCAUGGGUUCAAGUCCCAUUAGGUCCACCA